rnacentral:rRNA from 1 species
GAGAAACCCAAAAGAUCGAAUGGGGAGAUUCAGCGUCAGCUCAUUUUGUAUAUGUAUAANGUUAUGAUGCGAGUUACUCUGUGUAGUAUUGCUUGUACGUAAUUAUGCAUUUAUUUGCAAGAUGUUGUCGGCGUGCACUUCUCCCCUAGUAGGACGUCGCGACCCGUUGGGUGUCGGUCUACGACCCGAGUGGGAGACUUUAAUGUUUUNAUAAUAUUAAAGACCCUUGGUGUUUUCUGACCGGCUGCCCGGCGGUACUCGUACGGUAUUUAGCCGCAGUUAAUUUNGCGUCCGAGUCCGUUACAGGCUCAUCUAAUCUCUGGCAGUNGCGGACCUAGUGCCGUCGCUGGAGUUAGUAAGCUGUUGUUAUUAGCGGAACUCUUGGACUGGCUAAAAAAUAAUAUUACCGGUCGGCGAUGCUACUGCUUUGGGUACUUUCAGGACCCGUCUUGAAACACGGACCAAGGAGUCUAACAUGUGCGCGAG